UGUGCUAAGGUAGCAUAAUAAUUAGUUACUUAAUUGGUACCUAGAAUGAAAGGGCUGACGAAAGACCCCUCUCCUUAAGUUAAUAUUAAUUUCAUCUAUAGAUAAAAAAGUCUAUCUCCUAUAGAAAGACGACAAGACCCUAAAACCUUCAAUGGGUCCUGCAACCCUUUUUACUGGGGCGGUAGAUUUUAUAAACAUAAUUUAAAACAACAUCUUGAAUGACCUCCCAUAACUUGCUUUAAAACCAAAAAGGUACUUUAGGGAUAACAGCACAAUUUUUAUAUAGAGCAAACUUAUCGACAUAAAAGAUUGUGACCUCGAUGUUGAAUUGAUAUCCCUUUAUUAAGCAG
rnacentral:rRNA from 1 species